UACAGAGGGUGCGAGCGUUGUCCGGAAUCACUGGGCGUAAAGGGUGCGUAGGCGGGCAGGUAAGUCCGUGGUGAAAUCUCUGAGCUUAACUCAGAAACUGCCAUGGAUACUAUUUGUCUUGAAUAUUGUGGAGGCAAGCGGAAUAUGUCAUGUAGCGGUGAAAUGCUUAGAUAUGACAUAGAACACCCAUUGCGAAGGCAGCUUGCUACACAAUGAUUGACGCUGAGGCACGAAAGCGUGGGGAUCAAACAGG
rnacentral:rRNA from 1 species